AGUGAACGCUGGCGGUAGGCCUAACACAUGCAAGUCGAACGGCAGCACAGUAAGAGCUUGCUCUUACGGGUGGCGAGUGGCGGACGGGUGAGGAAUACAUCGGAAUCUACUUUUUCGUGGCGGAUAACGUAGGGAAACUUACGCUAAUACCGCAUACGACCUACGGGUGAAAGCAGGGGAUCUUCGGACCUUGCGCGAUUGAAUGAGCCGAUGUCGGAUUAGCUAGUUGGCGGGGUAAAGGCCCACCAAGGCGACGAUCCGUAGCUGGUCUGAGAGGAUGAUCAGCCACACUGGAACUGAGACACGGUCCAGACUCCUACGGGAGGCAGCAGUGGGGAAUAUUGGACAAUGGGCGCAAGCCUGAUCCAGCCAUACCGCGUGGGUGAAGAAGGCCUUCGGGUUGUAAAGCCCUUUUGUUGGGAAAGAAAAGCAGCAGGUUAAUACCCCGCUGUUCUGACGGUACCCAAAGAAUAAGCACCGGCUAACUUCGUG
rnacentral:rRNA from 1 species